GACGAACGCUGGCGGCGUGCUUAACACAUGCAAGUCGAACGAAGUGGCGAACGGGUGAGUAACGCGUAAGCAACCUGCCCUUCAGAGGGGGACAACAGUUGGAAACGACUGCUAAUACCGCAUACUGAAGGAGGGGAUUGCGUGUGAUUAGCUAGUUGGGGGGGUAACGGCCCACCAAGGCGAUGAUCAGUAGCCGGGUUGAGAGGAUGAACGGCCACAUUGGGGAUGGGAAAAGGCCCAGACUCAUACGGGAGGCAGGAGUGGGGAAUCUUCCGCAAUGGAGGAAAGUCUGACGGAGCAACGCCGGGGGAGUGAUGACGGCCCUCGGGUUGUAAAGCUCUGUUAAUCGGGACGCGGUACCGGAAUAGAAAGCCACGGCUAACUCCGUGCCAGCCGCCGCGGUAAUUC
rnacentral:rRNA from 1 species